ensembl:lncRNA LINC02395 long intergenic non-protein coding RNA 2395
GGGAGGGGCUGCUGAGGAAGGCCACAGGGGCUAAGGAGGAUUUCCUCAGAGCUUUUGGGAAGCUAUACGUUCCUGGCCCCGAGGUAAAGCUCCCACAGGCUGCUUGACCCAACAGAGCAGCUCCUACCCACUGGGAUUCUCGGUCUGCAGGAAUCUGGCAUCCACCUGGGGAGCAUCUGGCUGAGGCAGCCUGGAGACAGGCACGCACCAGAAGACUUCUGGUUCCAUCCAGGCCCAAGGACCACUGAACUGGAGCGGUCUUCUCCAUCCCCCAGCAAGCCUGUGCGUGAGCUGGGGACAAGGGGCAGAGGAGGCAGAGGUCCCCCUCACACCAGGAAGGGAACAGCGCCACUAAAGGGCCUGGUGGAGGCAGGGUGGAGGUGGAAGGAGACUCAGCAGAAGGGGGACCCACCCAUCACAGUAAAUGCCAGCACUGCUGAUGCCAAAACAAUGUUAUUUGUAGGCCCUCGGAAUUUGUGACCUGAAGGAAGAAGAGCAGGGCCGUGGGAAGUAUGUAACCAGUGUCAUGCCCCUGGUCCCAAGGAAGCAGUGGCUUGGUAAAGAGGGGACCCCCGUCAAUAACUCCCUGUAAUUACUGGGCACCCACUCUGAGCUCCUCAGUGGAAUCCUAAGGUUAAUAAGACUGUCUCUAGCCACUGGGGCUCCCAGCCUGGAGUGAGGCCUGAACACCCUGUCCUACCUGGUCCUACCUGGAUGCUGGCCUCAGUAAGCUCCUGGGCUCAUUGAAGAUGAACCUAGCAGUAGUAUUUACACCACUUGUUGUGUGCCCACUGUGGGCCCGGCGCCAUGCCGAGUGCUCUAUGGAUGUGAGAUGAGAACACUGAAGCAGUUUUUUCUAAAGAUAGCUGCCUGGCACAGUGGCUCACAUCUGUAGUCCCAGCAUUUGGGGAGGCCAAGGCAGGUGGAUCACUUGAGGCCAGGAAUUCAAGACCAGCAUGGCCAACAUGUGCUGGGAGAGAAAAGCAUACGACAUAGACAGGGAGGUCAAGCUCCACCACGCAGAUGAGGUGCAGGCCACCAGUCUUCCUCUGCCACAUCUCUUUCUGAAAAGGCAGCCUGUGCUGAGAAACCAUGACUGAGUAAGCCAAGCUUUGUUGGCCGCACCUGCCAAGCCACAGGGUGCCUCAGGCUUGGAGCAUCCCGGAGCCAGUUACAACCCAAGACUUCAGCCUUCUGGAAGGUGUUGGGUCAGCCACCCUGAAGGACGAUCCUGCCCAAGUGACAUGCUUUGCUCUUCCUUCUCACCCAGGACUUCACAUUCACCCUUGCAAUCCAUGUGGGGACACUGUUGGAUAGGAGGCGUGGUCCCAGCGUGGUCUCCCUGUCUGGGCCUCUGCCUAUGCCAAAUGUUUGCCUUACGCUGCACACUCAAGAGGUUCCAUGUAUACAGAUGGGAAUUCCAGAGCUACAGAAAAGGCAGCAAGCACCAUGAUUUAAGCUAACCAGUGUGGAUUCACACCUUCCUCUCUCUCUAUCAGUGGCAGAACUACCAGCUAGAGUAAGAAGUGGUUGAUCCAGGACCUAAACAUUCUGGAAACUCUUGCCCACUUCUGGGAGAAAUGACCCAAUCCAUAGUACUAAGCACACCUUAACUUUCGUAGGACGCAGGCAAGUUGUCAUACCGUGUGCCUAAAUAUAGAAAAAUGAUCCACUGGACUAAUAAAGUGUUAAAUAAAA